CAUGCCGCGUGAGUGAAGAAGGCCUUCGGGUUGUAAAGCUCUUUCGGCUGGGAAGAAAUCGCACAGGCUAAUACUCUGUGUGGAUGACGGUACCAGCACAAGAAGCACCGGCUAACUACGUGCCAGCAGCCGCGGUAAUACGUAGGGUGCGAGCGUUAAUCGGAAUUACUGGGCGUAAAGCGUGCGCAGGCGGUUGUGCAAGACAGAUGUGAAAUCCCCGGGCUCAACCUGGGAACUGCAUUUGUGACUGCACGACUAGAGUACGGCAGAGGGGGGUAGAAUUCCACGUGUAGCAGUGAAAUGCGUAGAGAUGUGGAGGAAUACCGAUGGCGAAGGCAGCCCCCUGGGCCGAUACUGACGCUCAUGCACGAAAGCGUGGGGAGCAAACAGGAUUAGAUACCCUGGUAGUCCACGCCCUAAACGAUGUCAACUAGUUGUUGGUAGGGUUAAACCUAUUAGUAACGUAGCUAACGCGUGAAGUUGACCGCCUGGGGAGUACGGUCGCAAGAUUAAAACUCAAAGGAAUUGGCGGG
rnacentral:rRNA from 1 species